UUAAUAGCAGAGCUAGCAGAUACCUAAUUUUAGGUUUUCGCAGAUUCCUAAUUUUAAAAGACAUUAAAGCCAAAAUGGCCACUUGAUAACUGACAUAAAACACAUCGGCCAGCAAGUAAUUAACAUAUUCUGUUCCAGAACCAAUGAAUUUAUGAAUGACCCAAUGUUCUUUCUCUUAUUGUUCCAUAAAAGGAGCAGUGUAGGAUGUAAUGUUUAAUGUCCUCUACUUGUCCCUGGCCAUAGGGGCAGAGGCACUGUUCCACAGAAACUUUGUGAAAUCUACCCUCAAGCUAUGCUGAGGGCACGGUUUAAAAACAAACUGGUAAACGCCUUCCUUCAUGGUGCACUGGUGAGGUUGAGUAUGUACUGCAAAGUGGAUCUGUUUUUCUUGGAGUGAGGAUACCACAGGGAGAACUUUGAAUGUUGGACCAAACGGUAUCUUGGCUGGCAUCCCAUUCAAGGAGCCAAUCAUGGAUUUGUUCCUCUAGAGAAGGCAGAGUACAUUUGUAGAAUAUGGGAUAGCAUAUUUGCCCACUGACUUCCCUCUUGGUAGUGCCAACAGGAUGAUUUAACUAGAAGGUCUUCUGGAAGGCUGACAGAUUUCAUAAAGUACUUUAGCAGUAUCAGAUGGACUCUAACAGAGAUUGUGGGCAGCCUGGCCUCCAUUCUUAGAUGUGCAGCAGUGAUCCCAUCUUAUGAUUAUUCAGCAGUCAGUUAAGACACAACAAGCAGCAGGUGAUACAGGCCUCGAGCAGCAGCCCUCCUCCUAGCUUUCCAGGAUGUGUUUUCUUAGUAGAGCUCUGAGGAGCUGAUAUGAACUCUUCUUGCCUUGAUGCGUCUUCCUCUGAAUAAAGUUGUGGCAUGUUUUAAUGAUA